AAUAAAGACUCUAGACUCUAUUCUUGACCAUUUCUGUGGUAUCUGUCCUGUUGAGACCAAGGCCCAUCUGAAGGACCUUCAAGAAAGUUAGCCCGAACAUUACAGGUGAGAAAAACAAGGACCAAAGGGAUAAAGUGGUUUUCAAGAUAUCGAUGGCCCACAUGAUGGAAAGAGAAACUGAAAGCUAAAAGAGACCAACAACCCUGGAAGUCCUUCCAUGUUUUGAAAUUCUAUAAAAUUAAAUAUAUAACAGCAGUCAGUCCUAUAAGCAAAUUUAGGAAUACCAAUAUCAGAUAUAAUUCUGUAUGAAUUUUGAUGAAAUUGCAAUUGAGGGAGGGAGUGGGAGGAAAGAAACCUAUCUUGUUUCUGUUAAAUGCUUAUAAAGACAAACCCUAAGUACAUGCUUUGGGUAGGAAAAAAGUAGAUAAAGCAGACUUGAUUACCUACUAGCAGGCUGAGUCUAAAACUACACAAUUCAAAAUUACAUUUUAUCAUUAAGUAAAUUACUCCAGUCAUUGUUUUAACUGAGAAACUAUCAUAUCAGUAAGAUUAUAAUUUUUUCAGUUACAGGCAGCAUGGAUUCAAAGUCAUGGGAUCCUCCCAUUCUCAUGAGAUUCUAUAAGAUGAAACUAGUAAUGAAACCCCCUUUUUUUGUUAAUUCCAAUCGUUAUACUAAUUUGCAUAUUCUGUAUAAAAUAUAUUGGAUUAUUUGCCAUCUAGGGAAAG